rnacentral:rRNA from 1 species
GUGACGGUACCUGCAGAAAAAGCACCGGCUAACUACGUGCCAGCAGCCGCGGUAAUACGUAGGGUGCAAGCGUUGUCCGGAAUUAUUGGGCGUAAAGAGCUCGUAGGCGGUUUGUCGCGUCUGCUGUGAAAUCUGGGGGCUCAACCCCCAGCCUGCAGUGGGUACGGGCAGACUAGAGUGCGGUAGGGGAGAUUGGAAUUCCUGGUGUAGCGGUGGAAUGCGCAGAUAUCAGGAGGAACACCGAUGGCGAAGGCAGAUCUCUGGGCCGUAACUGACGCUGAGGAGCGAAAGCAUGGGGAGCGAACAGGAUUAGAUACCCUGGUAGUCCAUGCCGUAAACGUUGGGAACUAGAUGUGGGGGCCAUUCCACGGUCUCCGUGUCGCAGCUAACGCAUUAAGUUCCCCGCCUGGGGAGUACGGCCGCAAGGCUAAAACUCAAAGGAAUUGACGGGGGCCCGCACAAGCGGCGGAGCAUGCGGAUUAAUUCGAUGCAACGCGAAGAACCUUACCAAGGCUUGACAUAUACCGGAAACGUCCAGAGAUGGUCGCCCCGCAAGGUCGGUAUACAGGUGGUGCAUGGUUGUCGUCAGCUCGUGUCGUGAGAUGUUGGGUUAAGUCCCGCAACGAGCGCAACCCUCGUUCUAUGUUGCCAGCACGUUAUGGUGGGAACUCAUAGGAGACUGCCGGGGUCAACUCGGAGGAAGGUGGGGAUGACGUCAAAUCAUCAUGCCCCUUAUGUCUUGGGCUUCACGCAUGCUACAAUGGCCGGUACAAAGGGCUGCGAUACCGUAAGGUGGAGCGAAUCCCAAAAAGCCGGUCUCAGUUCGGAUUGAGGUCUGCAACUCGACCUCAUGAAGUCGGAGUCGCUAGUAAUCGCAGAUCAGCAACGCUGCGGUGAAUACGUUCCCGGGCCUUGUACACACCGCCCGUCAAGUCAUGAAAGUCGGUAACACCCGAAGCCAGUGGCCUAA